rnacentral:misc_RNA from 1 species
GGGCUCUUGAUCCACUGCAAGCAAGGUCUGAUACUGCAAUUAUCACUGCAGCCCUUUCGCAGAACUCGACAUCCAUUACAACUCAUUCGCAUUUUGGAAGAAAAGAAUUAAGGAAAUGAGAGAGAUGGUGGGGUUUGGAGGAGGAAAGAAAAGAGAGAUGAGUGGGUAUUUAAGAGGAACGGAAUAGAGAGAGAUUUGGGUAGGAGCCGCUGGGUUUAGGGGUACAGGGUACGCAACUUGUUUUUAUCACCAAAAUACUGGUUUCCAAAUUCAAGGAGAUCGGAGUUUUGUACAAAACUUUUUAGCUUUCAUAAAAUAAUAAGAUCUCCAC